ACUUAAAUUGAAGAGUUUGAUCAUGGCUCAGAUUGAACGCUGGCGGCAGGCCUAACACAUGCAAGUCGAACGGUAGCACAGAGAGCUUGCUCUCGGGUGACGAGUGGCGGACGGGUGAGUAAUGUCUGGGAAACUGCCCGAUGGAGGGGGAUAACUACUGGAAACGGUAGCUAAUACCGCAUAACGUCGCAAGACCAAAGUGGGGGACCUUCGGGCCUCACACCAUCGGAUGUGCCCAGAUGGGAUUAGCUAGUAGGUGGGGUAACGGCUCACCUAGGCGACGAUCCCUAGCUGGUCUGAGAGGAUGACCAGCCACACUGGAACUGAGACACGGUCCAGACUCCUACGGGAGGCAGCAGUGGGGAAUAUUGCACAAUGGGCGCAAGCCUGAUGCAGCCAUGCCGCGUGUAUGAAGAAGGCCUUCGGGUUGUAAAGUACUUUCAGCGAGGAGGAAGGCGUUGUGGUUAAUAACCACAGCGAUUGACGUUACUCGCAGAAGAAGCACCGGCUAACUCCGUGCCAGCAGCCGCGGUAAUACGGAGGGUGCAAGCGUUAAUCGGAAUUACUGGGCGUAAAGCGCACGCAGGCGGUUUGUUAAGUCAGAUGUGAAAUCCCCGGGCUCAACCUGGGAACUGCAUUUGAAACUGGCAAGCUUGAGUCUCGUAGAGGGGGGUAGAAUUCC
rnacentral:rRNA from 3 species